UCCUACGGGGGGCAGCAGUGGGGAAUUUUGGACAAUGGGGGCAACCCUGAUCCAGCAAUGCCGCGUGUGUGAAGAAGGCCUUCGGGUUGUAAAGCACUUUUGUCCGGAAAGAAAUCGCCCUGGCUAAUAUCCGGGGUGGAUGACGGUACCGGAAGAAUAAGCACCGGCUAACUACGUGCCAGCAGCCGCGGUAAUACGUAGGGUGCGAGCGUUAAUCGGAAUUACUGGGCGUAAAGCGUGCGCAGGCGGUUUUGUAAGACAGGCGUGAAAUCCCCGGGCUUAACCUGGGAAUUGCAUUUGAGACUGCACGGCUAGAGUGUGUCAGAGGGGGGUAGAAUUCCACGUGUAGCAGUGAAAUGCGUAGAUAUGUGGAGGAAUACCGAUGGCGAAGGCAGCCCCCUGGGAUAACACUGACGCUCAUGCACGAAAGCGUGGGGAGCAAACAGGAUUAGAUACCCGGGUAGUC
rnacentral:rRNA from 1 species